ACAGCUCCUUGCAAUGAUGAAGCACGCGGACCUGCAUUUUCUAAUUGGAAUUAUUAUUUCUCCUGCGAUUGUGGCAACCUAUCCCGUUUCAAACCACGGGGUUCACUAUGCAAAACUGGUCUCAAGAGUCAACAGCUACAAACCUUUCCCGCAGCAGGU